UCAGAUUGAACGCUGGCGGCAGGCCUAACACAUGCAAGUCGAACGGUAGCACAGAGAGCUUGCUCUCGGGUGACGAGUGGCGGACGGGUGAGUAAUGUCUGGGAAACUGCCUGAUGGAGGGGGAUAACUACUGGAAACGGUAGCUAAUACCGCAUAAUGUCGCAAGACCAAAGAGGGGGACCUUCGGGCCUCUUGCCAUCAGAUGUGCCCAGAUGGGAUUAGCUAGUAGGUGGGGUAACGGCUCACCUAGGCGACGAUCCCUAGCUGGUCUGAGAGGAUGACCAGCCACACUGGAACUGAGACACGGUCCAGACUCCUACGGGAGGCAGCAGUGGGGAAUAUUGCACAAUGGGCGCAAGCCUGAUGCAGCCAUGCCGCGUGUAUGAAGAAGGCCUUCGGGUUGUAAAGUACUUUCAGCGGGGAGGAAGGUGUUGUGGUUAAUAACCACAGCAAUUGACGUUACCCGCAGAAGAAGCACCGGCUAACUCCGUGCCAGCAGCCGCGGUAAUACGGAGGGUGCAAGCGUUAAUCGGAAUUACUGGGCGUAAAGCGCACGCAGGCGGUCUGUCAAGUCGGAUGUGAAAUCCCCGGGCUCAACCUGGGAACUGCAUUCGAAACUGGCAGGCUAGAGUCUUGUAGAGGGGGGUAGAAUUCCAGGUGUAGCGGUGAAAUGCGUAGAGAUCUGGAGGAAUACCGGUGGCGAAGGCGGCCCCCUGGACAAAGACUGACGCUCAGGUGCGAAAGCGUGGGGAGCAAACAGGAUUAGAUACCCUGGUAGUCCACGCCGUAAACGAUGUCGAUUUGGAGGUUGUGCCCUUGAGGCGUGGCUUCCGGAGCUAACGCGUUAAAUCGACCGCCUGGGGAGUACGGCCGCAAGGUUAAAACUCAAAUGAAUUGACGGGGGCCCGCACAAGCGGUGGAGCAUGUGGUUUAAUUCGAUGCAACGCGAAGAACCUUACCUGGUCUUGACAUCCACAGAACUUUCCAGAGAUGGAUUGGUGCCUUCGGGAACUGUGAGACAGGUGCUGCAUGGCUGUCGUCAGCUCGUGUUGUGAAAUGUUGGGUUAAGUCCCGCAACGAGCGCAACCCUUAUCCUUUGUUGCCAGCGGUUAGGCCGGGAACUCAAAGGAGACUGCCAGUGAUAAACUGGAGGAAGGUGGGGAUGACGUCAAGUCAUCAUGGCCCUUACGACCAGGGCUACACACGUGCUACAAUGGCGCAUACAAAGAGAAGCGACCUCGCGAGAGCAAGCGGACCUCAUAAAGUGCGUCGUAGUCCGGAUUGGAGUCUGCAACUCGACUCCAUGAAGUCGGAAUCGCUAGUAAUCGUAGAUCAGAAUGCUACGGUGAAUACGUUCCCGGGCCUUGUACACACCGCCCGUCACACCAUGGGAGUGGGUUGCAAAAGAAGUAGGUAGCUUAACCUUCGGGAGGGCGCUUACCACUUUGUGAUUCAUGACUGGGGUGAAGUCGUAACAGG
rnacentral:rRNA from 1 species